rnacentral:rRNA from 1 species
AUGAACGCUGGCGGCGUGCCUAAUACAUGCAAGUCGAGCGAACAGACGAGGAGCUUGCUCCUCUGACGUUAGCGGCGGACGGGUGAGUAACACGUGGAUAACCUACCUAUAAGACUGGGAUAACUUCGGGAAACCGGAGCUAAUACCGGAUAAUAUAUUGAACCGCAUGGUUCAAUAGUGAAAGACGGUUUUGCUGACACUUAUAGAUGGAUCCGCGCCGCAUUAGCUAGUUGGUAAGGUAACGGCUUACCAAGGCAACGAUGCGUAGCCGACCUGAGAGGGUGAUCGGCCACACUGGAACUGAGACACGGUCCAGACUCCUACGGGAGGCAGCAGUAGGGAAUCUUCCGCAAUGGGCGAAAGCUUGACGGAGCAACGCCGCGUGAGUGAUGAAGGUCUUCGGAUCGUAAAACUCUGUUAUUAGGGAAGAACAAAUGUGUAAGUAACUAUGCACGUCUUGACGGUACCUAAUCAGAAAGCCACGGCUAACUACGU